ACAGAGCUGGAACAAGAUCCAACAGCUGGCCAAAGACAGACAGAAGUGGAAGAACUUUGUUGCUAGCCUAUGUGCCAGUGGGCACAAUGGGCAGUGAGUGAGUGUGAGUGAGUUAGGCAAAGAAAUUGCAGACUGCUGUUUGCCAUUCAUCGUCAAGUGCUGUAAGCAUUUCCUUUCUCUUAGAAGCUCAGUAGCCUAGUAGCAGUGUACAGGCAGGUGCAAUUAGAAGAAGACCUACCACAAAUAGAGAGA